UCCUUCCGGAAGAUGCCGUUCCCUCUCCCCUGGUCCCUGAACGAGACCUGGAACCCCCAGGACAGCAGGGGGGGUUGCUGAUUGCACCACCAACUCUCUCUGCCACUACCCCAGGGGCUCACUGCUGGGGAGUAGGUGAAACAUCAGAAUGGCCCCCAGGGCCAGAGGCCUAUGCUGACCUGGGCCUACCCUUGCCCUCAUCCAAGUGGCCUGACUUCCUGGAAGGGCAAUGGGGGAGCUGUCUGAGGGGAAGCCAGAGGGAGCCCCGGCUGGAUCAGGCCCCGAGCAGACGUUGGCGGAGCUGCCCAGGCAAGUCUCCGGGCCUCCCUGUCCCCACCUGGCUGCCUGCAGGCUCCUUGUACCCCCCUGGGCCUGGGGCUGCCGAAAGCCGGGAGGAUGGGCAAGACCCUCCCACCUUACCUGCCAGGACCCUCGCCCAGGCCCGGGAUGGCUCACAGGGCCAAGGCCAGAGAUCCUGAGGGGCCAGCGGCUGCUCCUGGGGGUCGGGUGCCCAGGCCCAGCUUCCUGGAACAGGCGUCAGUACAGUCCCGAUGUCUGGACGCGGCUUCUGCUUGCCCCGGCUUGGCCCUAGGGACCCGCGAGGCUGCCCGGAUCCUAGACGUGCCGGCUCUUCCCGGCUCCAGUUAGCUCCCUCUAGAGGAAGUCGCUGUGUGGCCGCCGGAUGCUGAUGAAGGGCCUAUAGCCUGGGGGUCGGUCUGGGCUCCUCCGCAGAGGAGGUGCUCCACCCUUUACACUUGGCCCCGGCCAGGUGGCAAGGCUCCCCUUCUCCCACUUCUGAUUUCCAGUCCCGGUCUUUGAUCUUUACCCUCUUUCAUGAAUCAAUACCAAUAAAAAAGGCAGGAUGGCUUAAGCACCACAAUGUGCCUUGCACUUUA